rnacentral:lncRNA from 1 species
UGGUAAACCCGGCGCUUCGCCUUACUCUCGUUGGCAGCUGCAGCGCCUACUGUUCCUCCACCCUCUACUACAACUGGGAAGUUAGGAAGGAAAACGGCGAGCUCAUCGUGAUCGACCAACCGGACUGCGAGCCGGCCAAGUCCGUAUGUCAGCAAAGUUACGAGUCUAUAACCUACGCAGACACUGUCAUCAUUUCACCAGCGAUGUUUGUGCUC